AAUAUUGGACAAUGGGCGAAAGCCUGAUCCAGCCAUGCCGCGUGUGUGAAGAAGGUCUUCGGAUUGUAAAGCACUUUAAGUUGGGAGGAAGGGCAGUAAGUUAAUACCUUGCUGUUUUGACGUUACCGACAGAAUAAGCACCGGCUAACUUCGCGCCAGCAGCCGCGGUAAUACGAAGGGUGCAAGCGUUAAUCGGAAUUACUGGGCGUAACGGGGCCUUAGGUGGUUUGUUUAGUUGGAAGUGAAAGCCCCGGGCUCAACCUGGGAACUGCUUUCAAAACUGGCGAGCUAGAGUACGGUAGAGGGUAGUGGAAUUUCCUGUGUAGCGGUGAAAUGCGUAGGUAUAGGAAGGAACAUCCGUGGCGAAGGCGACUACCUGGACUGAUACUGACACUGAGGUGCGAAAGCGUGGGGAGCAAACAGG
rnacentral:rRNA from 1 species